rnacentral:misc_RNA from 1 species
AAGUCGUAACAAGGUUUCCGUAGGUGAACCUGCGGAAGGAUCAUUAGCGAAGCUCGGAAUGCGUGUUCGGUCUGAUGCUGCCCAGCAAUGGGAUGUGCUCGGCCGGAUGCGUGUCCCUUCUCUAUUCCACCCCUUUGUGAACCAAGUGUGCGAGCCGAAGAGAGAUCGGAGGCUCGCAUGCAACCCUUAACAUACCCCAAUGAAGUAUCAGAAUGUACCUUGCGUUAACUCGCACAAAUACAA